UACGAAGGGGCUAGCGUUGUUCGGAAUCACUGGGCGUAAAGCGCACGUAGGCGGAUCUUUAAGUCAGGGGUGAAAUCCCGAGGCUCAACCUCGGAACUGCCUUUGAUACUGGGGAUCUCGAGUCCGGGAGAGGUGAGUGGAACUGCGAGUGUAGAGGUGAAAUUCGUAGAUACUGGGAGGAACACCGGCGGCGAAGGCGGUGACCUGGCCCGAGACUGACGCUGAGGCGCGAAAGCGUGGGGAGCAAACAG
rnacentral:rRNA from 1 species